rnacentral:rRNA from 1 species
AUUGAACGCUGGCGGCAGGCCUAACACAUGCAAGUCGAGCGAGCGGCGGACGGGUGAGUAAUGUCUGGGAAACUGCCUGAGGGAGGGGGAUAACUCCUGGAAACGGUAGCUAAUACCGCCUACCAUCCGAUUUGCCCAGAUGGGAUUAGCUAGUAGGUGGGGUAACGGCUCACCUAGGCGACUAUCCCUAGCUGUUCUGAGAGGAUGACCAGCCACACUGGAACUGAGACACGGUCCAGACUCCUACGGGAGGAAGCAGUGGGGAAUAUUGCACAAUGGGCGCAAGCCUGAUGCAGCCAUGCCGCGUGUAUGAAGAAGGCCUUCGGGUUGUAAAGUACUUUCAGCGGGGAGGCGUUACCCGCAGAAGAAGCACCGGCUAACUCCGUGCCAGCAGCCGCGGUAAUUC